rnacentral:lncRNA from 1 species
AGUGAUGUCAUCAUCGCCUUCAUUGUAUUUAGUGAUAACAUAAUCAUUGAGGCGAGCUGGUGGCACGCUUGUUCGACCUGAACGCCGUAAUUGUUCUAUCGGUUCUGCUGGCUGAGGAGAUGGAGGAUCACUAGCUGGUGGUUCAGGUGUUGAGAUAUAUUCCUCGUCUGGCUCUUCUGACUCGAUCAGUAUACCUCUCCCAACAUCAUCUUUCUUUCUACAGCUCCACGCUUCAUCUUCAGUGAACCGAACAUCUCUGCUGACAAUCAAUUGUUUCGUGACUGAUUAUAUAACUUAUAACCCUUCGUGACUUCACUGUACCCAAUAAAGAUACACUUCUGGCUUUN